rnacentral:misc_RNA from 1 species
CCCCAAUGGGUUCUCCGGAUUUCUGGAGACUUGUAGGGGUUGUGGGAUUUUUGAUGUGUCGUCUCCGGACGGGCGGUGCAGGGUAGUCGAGUUAGACUUGGUGGAAUUCCGUCGAUAGGAGUUCCGUCGAGUCUGGUCGGCUGUGUGUUGGACGGUGCAGGGUAGGCUGCUUGGACAUGGUCGGUUCGAGGAUCGAUUCGAGGGCCGGCCUGUCGAUGAUGUGUGAUGUAUGCGGUCUAGGGUAGGCUGGUUUGUCUUGGUUCAAUUUGAUGUCGGUUCCCGUGCAGGCCAGAGUGAGUGGGGUCCAGGGUAGGUACAGGGUAGGCAGCUUAGAUUUGGUCGAUCUGGAGGUCGAUUCUCCGGCUGGCGGAUCUGACACUGUUGAAACGAGAUGCGAGCGGUGUAGGGUAGGCUAGUUUCGUCCUCGCCAGGUUGCGAUUUGGACGAGAUAUGUGGUUUAGGGUAGGCUCUAGGGUAAGUAGAAUUCGAGUUUCGUCGCCGACAGUUUUCUGUGAGUGUAUGGUAGGUACAGGGUAGGCAAAUCUCUCUCCGGCCAGUACUUGUCUGGUGGUCGUGAGUCGAUUUUUUUGUUUUGCCAUACUAUUGAAUUUUGCGGAAAUUCAAAAGUGGCUCGGGAGUCCCGCCUGGCGUGCGUCCGACUCGAACAUCGUCGGUGUACAUAUGAGAGGGAGUAAUCCGGCCCGGCCGGGGCCCAUCGCGAGCUGCCGGGUAGGUAAAAGUAAAAAAGUUGUUAAGAGGCGCGGUGUCGGCGUGCUUGUAUUUGCGGGAGAGAAUUAUCUGGGGGGUGCUGGGUAGCCGGGAAGACUUGGACGGAUCUGGCCCGGGAAUGGGUCUGGGCCUGGAUUCUGGUGUGGUGUAGGGUAGGCGUAGAUAGAUGAGUGGUCUAGGGUAGAUACAGGGUAGCCAGAAGUCUGGUAUAUAGUAUGGGGGUGUAGGGUAGGUCUGGACACCGUUUUCCACUUCGCCCUUCCCUUUCGUCGAGGGAGGACGAUCUUGGCUGGGACGGAGGUGUAGGGUAGGCUUAAUUUACGAUUACAUGAUCUGUGUCACUCUAGGGUAGGUGAAAAUCCCAUAUAUAUCUGAUCACAUUUGGUGAAGAGGUGGUUUGGCUGGUGAGAUGGACAAAAGUGCAAUGUAGAAUUAUAUGUGAUUUUGCAAAAGUGGGUGUGAAAUUGGAAAGUCGGUUUUCCCGCACAGAUGAGAGCACGUUUGAGGUGCCAUGAGAUGCACCUCUCCGAGACGACCUCAACGGUACCACCCAUGUGUUGGUCGGGCUCCUGUGCGGCCGUCCAGGGCGGGAUAAGUAGAGAAUGUGGUGGUGUAGGGUAGGUGACCAGGUCCAGGGUAGGUUCGUCAAAUCCGUCAAUCCGGCUUGAAUCGAAGGACAGGUCUAGGGUAGGCCAGAGUCGGGUGUAGGGUAGGCAACACUCACCCUCGAAGUGGUCUACCCGGUAGCCAACUUCAAUCGCCUCUCACGGCCGCCACGGACCUCGAAUGACGACGGGACUACCACCAUCGGAUUCGCCUUGGUCGAAAUAGCUGGUAUAUGCACUUUUGAAAAAAUGCGUGCAAAAUGGUUUUGUGGUUUGGUGGCCGUGAGUCGAUUUUUUUGUUUUCCCAUACAAAUGAAUUUUGCGGAAAAUAAAAAGUGGCCCACGAGGCAGUUCUGGCGUGCGGCCCACUAAAACGGUCUCGGAGGGUAUAUGAGAAGGGAGCAAAUCCGGCCGAGCCUGAAAGGGUGAGGACAAACCGGGCGAGCAACCUCUCAGUAUCAGAUCUUGCAGACUUCCACUGCGUGUCCCUCUGUACAGCUUUGCAGGCUCCGGCCUCGGCAGCGGGGGGUUCAUAGUGGUCGUCGACCUCCACGAAACUGCACGCUCCGGCGUGACAGCGUACUGGGGAUGCCUGUGUAGAUGCAGUCCGGGCUUGCCUGGACCGCUAGCAGAUGGGCUCUGUGGAUGACUGGCCGCUGGCUAGACCUGAAACCUGAGCAACGGGAGGUAACCUCUCG